GCUGAGCCAUCUCACCAACCCCGGCAUUGCAUAUUCUUGUUAGUAAAAUAAGGAUUGCCCAAUGCUGCUUAGGCCUGGUCUCAGGAGCCACACAGGUGGUGGGAAGCUCAGAAGAGAGAAGCCAGACAGAGUGCCCUUUGUGUGUCUGGUCACUCCCAGAGCCAAGCUGACCUGCUGCCCCAGGUGGAUAUAUAGCUAGAGAACUGAUGGGAUGAAGGAAAUUAAUAUUGUGCGAGAUUACAGCUGCAUGUUGAACUGUUUUGCUCCUUGUAACUACAUGAAAUUGCUUUGGAGGCUGUCUCGACUAACUGCCAAGGCUUAUAGUCGUAGAUGCCUAGAGCUGAAUAGUUUUCCUUGCACUGUAUAAUCUACGUGAGUUGGACUAUAUUUUCUGUAGAAUAGCAUGUUUAACUGAGACGAAAUGCAGUUGUGGAGAUCUCAAUUAUCACUAUUUUUUGGACUUUUCUUUUUUCGUAUAUAUGUUCAUUUUGUGUUUUGCCUGUACAUUUUGUCUGUGUGAGGGUGUCAGAUCUGGAACAGAGCUCUCCGGCAGCUGCUGGGCAUUGAGCCCUCUGACAGAGCUGUCUAUUUAGUUAUUUUUCACUCUGUCCUUAAGAGUGAUAUAAAAGUGGCAACAUUUGGUUUAAUUUCUGUUUCCUGCUUCUCUACUUUCUAAACUUACACAUAAUUUGGUAAACUUACUGAGAUGUGAUUUAUAUUGCACAAUGUUUAAAGUACGCAGUCAAUUUUACUUUGAUAUAUUUCAUUGGAUUUUAGUAUAGUUGUGCCCUUUUCCACUAAGGUCAUUUCUCUUUCCCUAGCCCUACACAGUACUAAUUACCAUCUGUAAUUACCACUUAAGGACAUUUUGUGUUAAUGGUAUUGUUUGACCUUACAUUUUUUUGUUUGUUUGUUUGUUUUGCUUUUUUGAAUUUUUGAGACUGGGUUUCUCUGUGUAGCCCUGGGUGUCCUGGAAAUUGCUCUGUAGGCCACCUGCCUCUGCUUCUUGAGUGCUGGGAUUCCAUACCUGGCCACAUAAAUUUUUUUGUUUGUUUGUUUUAUUUAACAUUGUGUAGCCCUGGCCAUCCUAGAACUUCCUCUGUACACCAGGAUGGGCUUGAACUCAGAGAGCUCCUCCUGCCUCUGGAGUGCUGGGAUUAAAGGCAUGUGCCAAUACUGCCUGGCCUGUAGUUUUUAAAAACACAGUUUUGUAUCUUCGAUUGGAUUGGCCUUCACAAUGUUCAGUUUGAGUUGGGUUCACAUAUAUUUUGUAUAUGAAAAUAGGACAAGCUCCCUGGGGGCUGGAGAGAUGAUGGGUGGCUCAGGGGUUAAGAACACAGAUUGCUCUUCCAGAGGUUCUGAGUUCAAUUCUCAGCAACCCUUUGGUAGCUCACAACCAUCUGUAAUGAGAUCUGAUGCUCUCUUCCAGCACAUAGAUAUACAUGCAGAUAGAAUACUCAGAUAUACAUAAAGUAAAUCUU
rnacentral:lncRNA from 1 species